rnacentral:rRNA from 1 species
AUGCCUUAGUACGGCGAGUGAAGCGGCAAAAGCUCAAAUUUGAAAUCUGGUACCUUCGGUGCCCGAGUUGUAAUUUGGAGAGGGCAACUUUGGGGCCGUUCCUUGUCUAUGUUCCUUGGAACAGGACGUCAUAGAGGGUGAGAAUCCCGUGUGGCGAGGAGUGCGGUUCUUUGUAAAGUGCCUUCGAAGAGUCGAGUUGUUUGGGAAUGCAGCUCUAAGUGGGUGGUAAAUUCCAUCUAAAGCUAAAUAUUGGCGAGAGACCGAUAGCGAACAAGUACAGUGAUGGAAAGAUGAAAAGAACUUUGAAAAGAGAGUGAAAAAGUACGUGAAAUUGUUGAAAGGGAAGGGCAUUUGAUCAGACAUGGUGUUUUGUGCCCUCUGCUCCUUGUGGGUAGGGGAAUCUCGCAUUUCACUGGGCCAGCAUCAGUUUUGGUGGCAGGAUAAAUCCAUAGGAAUGUAGCUUGCCUCGGUAAGUAUUAUAGCCUGUGGGAAUACUGCCAGCUGGGACUGAGGACUGCGACGUAAGUCAAGGAUGCUGGCAUAAUGGUUAUAUGCCGCCCGUCUGA